CGGCAGCCGCGGUAAUACCGGCGGCCCGAGUGGCGGCCACUAUUAUUGGGCUUAAAGCGUCCGUAGCCGGGUUGGUUAGUCUCCCGGGAAAUCUGGCCGCUUAACGGUCAGAAUUCCGGGAGAUACUGCCAGCCUAGGGACCGGGAGAGGCCGAGGGUAUUCCCGGAGUAGGGGUGAAAUCCUAUAAUCCCGGGAGGACCACCUGUGGCGAAGGCGCUCGGCUGGAACGGGUCCGACGGUGAGGGACGAAGGCCAGGGGAGCAAACCGGAUUAGAUACCCGGGUAGUCCUGGCUGUAAACGAUGCGGACUUUGUGUCGGACAAGCUAUGAGCUUGUCCGGUGCCGGAGGGAAACCGUUAAGUCCGCCGCCUGGGGAGUACGGCCGCAAGGCUGAAACUUAAAGGAAUUGGCGGG
rnacentral:rRNA from 1 species